rnacentral:rRNA from 1 species
AAGGCGGGCUGGAACCUCUCGGGGUUACAGCCUUGCUGAAUUAUUCACCCUUGUCUUUUGCGUACUUCUUGUUUCCUUGGUGGGUUCGCCCACCACUAGGACAAACAUAAACCUUUUGUAAUUGCAAUCAGCGUCAGUAACAAAUUAAUAAUUACAACUUUCAACAACGGAUCUCUUGGUUCUGGCAUCGAUGAAGAACGCAGCGAAAUGCGAUAAGUAGUGUGAAUUGCAGAAUUCAGUGAAUCAUCGAAUCUUUGAACGCACAUUGCGCCCUUUGGUAUUCCAAAGGGCAUGCCUGUUCGAGCGUCAUUUGUACCCUCAAGCUUUGCUUGGUGUUGGGCGUCUUGUCUCUAGCUUUGCUGGAGACUCGCCUUAAAGUAAUUGGCAGCCGGCCUACUGGUUUCGGAGCGCAGCACAAGUCGCACUCUCUAUCAGCAAAGGUCUAGCAUCCAUUAAGCCUUUUUUUCAACUUUUGACCUCGGAUCAGGUAGGGAUACCCGCUGAACUUAAGCAUAUCAAUAAGGCGGAGGAA